UACGAAGGGGGCUAGCGUUGCUCGGAAUCACUGGGCGUAAAGCGCACGUAGGCGGUUUCUUAAGUCAGGGGUGAAAUCCCGGAGCUCAACUCCGGAACUGCCUUUGAUACUGGGAGACUUGAGUUCGGGAGAGGUGAGUGGAACUGCGAGUGUAGAGGUGAAAUUCGUAGAUAUCCGGAGGAACACCGGUGGCGAAGGCGGCAUCCUGGACCGGCAUUGACGCUGAGGCGCGAAAGCCAGGGGAGCAAACGGG
rnacentral:rRNA from 1 species